UCACUGUGUAGUCAGGCUAUGUGGCCUUGAGCUCACUGUGAAGUAGCCCAGGCUGGCCUCCACCUCAUGGCAAUCCUCCUGCCUCAACCUUUUGAGUGCAGGGAUUACAGGCAUCCGCCACCACACCCAAUCCCUCUGAGUCUCCCUCGGUAUAAAUGGUAGCUAUUUUGAUUAUCAGAGUGGGGAACAAAGCAGAGAUGGUCCCUGCCCUCGGGUAACUUGAAAUCUAGCAGCAAUGUUACACUAAUCAAGGGCACUUGCUGUACAGGUCUGUGAGCGGGUCCUGUGAACACUGCAGUCGUUCUCUCAACUCAGCCUUACAGCAUCCACUUCCGUUUCAUGGGCAAAGGGGCUGAAGCUCAAAGAAGUGGGAGCAGAGAAAAGAUUUGAACAAAGAGGUCACUCAACAGUGUGGAUGAAUCUGCAAACUAGCAUGCUGAGUGAGGAGAAGCCAGAUAUGAAACAAAUUUUGGACAGCUCUUCUAAUCAUUUUCUGCUAGAAUCUGAGGCACGAACUCCUCACUGGAGGAACUGAAGGAAGAGACAGGAGAGGGCAAUUGGAAGGGACAAUCCUGGAGGUGGCCUGCCUACCCUCUUCGAAGACAUAAGGCAAGAUGGCCAUGAUGCACCUGGGUCAUAGAUACCUGGGUGGAAGCCCUGCUCUACCCUUGCCAGCCAUGUGAUCUCAGGAGGGAGACAACUUCUCUGAACUGAACCUGGGUCCUCAUUUGUCACAUGGAGAUACUAAGAAUUAAAACUGCAUCAUUAAAAAAGCACUGCAUUAUAGAGUUAUCG
rnacentral:lncRNA from 1 species